CCGUGCCCAAGAGAUCGGGAUAACACCUGGAAACAGAUGCUAAUACCGGAUAACAACAGAUGAUGCCUAUCAACUGUUUAAAAGAUGGUUCUGCUAUCACUCUUGGAUGGACCUGCGGUGCAUUAGCUAGUUGGUAGGGUAACGGCCUACCAAGGCGAUGAUGCAUAGCCGAGUUGAGAGACUGAUCGGCCACAUUGGGACUGAGACACGGCCCAAACUCCUACGAGAGGCAGCAGCC
rnacentral:rRNA from 1 species